CGUAGCAGAGCACAGAAAGGCAGCUGCAAGCCUACAAAUAAAUAGGUAAAUUAUGGGCCCAGGCCCAUCAAAGGGGGAUUUCAAAAAGGGCCUCCUGGAUCACCAGGGCUUCAAAGAAAGUGGUGGAAUUUGAAAGGGAGACGGGCGAUCAGUAUAUUGGCAAGAGCCGGAAGGAUCGAGGAUCAAUGGGUUGGAGGAUCCACAAACAGUCAUGUAGGAGAGCAGGCACCCUUUUUCGUAGGUGUGAGCCCUGCAUGCUAACGUCCAUCUUGGAAUCCUUCUGGGGGGUCUCAAACUGCAAUAUACCCUGAAGAACCCAAAGCAGAGAGGAGUCCUGUGCCCCCAACUCCAAGGAGCUUCCCUAUUAGUCUUGCAUCGUUUGCACCCGGAUUGUGAUAAGAGAACGGAAUAAACUGCUCUUCACUCAAGGUGCUCCUAUUUGCGGUCUCUGUCAUCGCAGCAGGAAGUGUACCCGAAGCACCUGGGGAGGCUGCGGAGUGGCGAUUUGCACUGAGCAGGCUUCAACUGCCUCAUCUCUAGCACAGAACUAAGCUAUUUGAAAGUUUCUUGCUCCUCCUACAUCAGAAAGUUGCACAAGGCCAAAUUGAGCCCAGAUGAAGGGCUUUGGAAGGUCAACAGCGCUGUCUAAACACAUGAGGAGAAAAUCGGGGGCAGUAGGAAGGAGCAGCUACGUGCAGGCUGUGGGUCCAGACACCUGAGCUGGAGCACCAGGUGGACCACUCAACAGCGGCGGGAGUUACCGAACCUCUCAGAGGAUCUGUUUCCUCAUCUCUCCAUGGGACCAGCGGUCAUUGUGAGGAUUAGAUGAGUGAAUGCCAAUGUGUAGUGUUUAGAACAGUGCCUGGCACAUAGUAGGUGCUCAGGAACUUUAUAGCCAUGCCAACAAUUCAUUGCAGUAGGAACUAGUGAAUAGUUGGGCAACACUUUCUGGUCACCAGGUCAUGAGCUGGGGCUGGGACCAGCUUGCUCCUCCCUCUCUGAUGGCUCACCCCAGGGUAGGUUUAGCUUCCCCAGUCAGGGUCCCAGGAGUGACCCUCCCAAUGAUCUGUCUGGGCACUUUUCUCCUAGUUCAAGCCUUUGAAGAAGAAAAUCCUCCUGGGGAGGGAGCCCUUCUCACUGAGGUGCUAAGAAUUUAUCAGAUUUUGGCAGGAAGGGAGGAGACAUUUAGUGGCUCUGACCUGAAAGGAGAGAAAAAAGAAGGGAAGGGAGAAAGAGGAGAAGCAAAGUGCUGCAAAAGGCGCAAAGGGAAUUCGUGAGACACAAAGACCAGCCCCUGCCCCCUCCUCCCCCUGCCCCCCACCCCCGCAGGCAUGUGCUCCAUCUUCCCUCAAUUGUAGCCAGGUCAGUGGAGUCAGCCAGGCCGACCUCAGUUUCCAUGCCUGUAAAAUGGGAAUAAUAACCUCUCGAUUCAGGGAGAUUAAAUGCAACACAAUAAUGUAUCUGUAGAGCCUGUCGGAGCGCCUGGCACGAAACCUGAAAGCAGCAUAUGGUCCCGAAAAACAAAACCAAGGGACGUUUCUCCAAAGAAGACAUGUAAAUGGCUAAUAAACACAUGAGAAGAUGCUCGACAUCACUAAUCAUUAGGAAAAUGCAAAUCAGAACCACAAUAUCACCUCAUACCCAUUAGGAUGGCUGCUUUUUAAAAACCAGAAAAUAAUAAGUGUUGGCAACAAUGUGGAGAAAGUGGAUCCUGUGUGCGCUGCCGGCAGGAACGUAAAACGGCGCAGCCCCUGUGGAAAGCAGUGUGGCGUGUCCCUGAAAACAUUAAACAGAGAAUUAGCAUGUUAGGCAAUGAUCCUGCAAUUCCGUUUCUGGGUACAUACCCGGAAGAAAUGAGAGCAGGAACGUGAAGAGAUAUUUGCACACUCAUGCUCGUGGUGGCAUUAUUCACAGCAGCCAAAAGGUGGAAGCAACCAAGUGUCCACUGAUGGACAAUGGAAAAGCACAAUGUGGUGUAUACACACCGUGGGACAUUACUGAGCCGCAGAGAGGAAGAGUCUGACAAAAGCUAUAGCAGGGAUGAGCCUCGAAGACGUUAUGGAAGUGAAAUCAGCCAGUUAAAAUCAUCAGGGUAGAAUGGAGGUUUGUGGGGGGCUUUGCAGGGGGCAGUAGGGAGCCAGUGUUCAGUGGGCACAGGGCUUCGUUUGGGGAAGAUGAGCAGCUCCUGGAGAUGGGCUGCAGAACAUUGGCCAUGGACUCGCUGCCACAGGACCGAGCACCGCAGAUGAUUAAAACGGUGCAUUUUAUACCACGUGUAUUUUGUCACAAAAAAGGAACAAAACAAAAUGAAACCAAGGAGCUCAUAAAAACAAUAGUAUUAUUAACCACAAUUACCAUCAUGAAAGUAGGUUCUGUUUAUUUUCCUGACACUCUUUUCCUCUGGAGCCCAGCACUGUGCCUGGCUCUCAAGACAGGAAAUCUUCACACAAAACAAACCCCAAAAACACGAACUGGAGGGAUAAAACCGCAGGCUGGUUGUAAGAUCUCCUCCUCUCUGUCUUCCUUUUCCAUUUCCUUCUGGGAGAGAGGUCCUGCGUCUUCUCACCGUUUUAUUUCCAGGGCCGAGGACAGUGCCAGCUUAUUAGAGGGUUUUUUGUUUGUUUGUUUGUUUUGUUUUCCAAUGACUAAAUGACAAAGGCUAUUCUCAGGAAAACUUGCCUCGGUAUCGAUUUGGAUUAUAUCAACACUGGGGAGCAAUGGAGAAGUGAAUAGGAAAGACAGCUCCUCUCUCCUAGGGGUGGGGGUCACAGCUAUCUCCAUGUGUAGGGAUACAGCCCAUUAGGUGAAACUCGGCAGCUUUGGAGCCAGGACUUGGUGAGAGGUCGGCAAGAUUCUCACCCCUUUCUAGAAAUGCUGAGUCCUUAUUCACUAACCAGAAAAGCAGACAAGUGUCCUCUCCAGGAUCCAAGUCACUUCCAAAAGGACUGAUUUCAUUUCCUUUGAGUUACAUAAGAGGCUUUCCUGGCCCUUCAUCUUAUUGAUUGAACAUUCCUUUGAAAUGUUCUAAUUCUGGGAUACACAAGAGUCACUUCUUGGUAGAGCAAGAUUUAUGUCAGGGUUUAAGACCUGGUGUGUUAAAACCUUUGGGGACUGGAAUGAAAGACCUGUUUGCCUGUUUGGCUUGUUCUCACAGAGUAUUUGGAGCCACUGGGGCUCUUUCUCAUCUUACAGACCGUGCGCCUCAUCUUUGGAGUGAAAGCAGAAGCAAGAAGACAGAACUGCGCUCUUUGACCCAAUUGACCAGGGCAGCAGGUGGGCUUCUUGUCACCUCACUUCAGCCUUCAGAGGACCUGUGCACGGUCACGCCAACUCUCACUACCAUCCUAGGCACACCAGGCUGGCCAAUUGUGUUAGUUAGCUUUUGCUAUGUAACAAAUGCCCCCAAAAGUUGGUGGUUUAAAACCACAGCUAUUUAUUUAGCUCUUGAGACUCAGUGUGACUGGUUAUUUCUCUGGGCCAGGUAGGACUUAGGGCUGCUGGGUUUAUGCAUCUGUGGUCAGCUGCUGGGUGGCUUGGGGGCUAGCCAGUCUAGGACAGCUGCAGCUGGGUUGGCCCCCCUCUGGUCUAUGCAGCCUCCCACCCUCCAACAGGCUUGCCCAGUCUAGGCCUU